CCGCUGUCUCCAACAUCGACUCAGCGAAAUUGAAUUGCCUGUCAAGAUGCAGGCUUCCCGCGGUUAGACGGAAAGACCCCGUGCACCUUUACUACAGCUUCGCACUGGCAUCAGGAUUGUGAUGUGCAGGAUAGGUGGUAGGCUUUGAAGCGGUGACGCCAGUCAUCGUGGAGCCUCCCUUGAGAUACCACCCUUUGCAUUCUUGAUGUCUAACCGCGGUCCGUUAUCCGGAUCCGGGACCCUGCGUGGCGGGUAGUUUGACUGGGGCGGGCGCCCCCCAAAAAGGAAAGGAGGGGCGCGAUGGGAUGCUCAGGCUGGGUUGGAACCAAC
rnacentral:rRNA from 1 species